GAAAAGUCUCCGAAUUGGGCCGAGGUUUUGGCUAGCCCCCCAUUGUCAGACGUCCCGAGCGCGUUCCCGAAGUCGGAAUCGGCAAAGGUGAGCCGGGACAGCCUUCUUCCUCUGCCCAGCCGCCACAGUAAUUUGUCGUCAAGUUUGCCACAGGAGGAUAUUUAUUCUGGGUUAACCUGCUUUUAUACUUC